UACGGAGGGUGCAAGCGUUAUCCGGAUUCACUGGGUUUAAAGGGCUCGUAGGCGGCCAACUAAGUCGGAUGUGAAAUCCCCAGGCUUAACCUGGGAACUGCAUCCGAUACUGGAUGGCUUGAAUCCGGGAGAGGGAUGCGGAAUUCCAGGUGUAGCGGUGAAAUGCGUAGAUAUCUGGAGGAAUACCGGUGGCGAAGGCGGCAUCCUGGACCGACAUUGACGCUGAGGAGCGAAAGCUAGGGGAGCAAACGGG
rnacentral:rRNA from 1 species